rnacentral:rRNA from 1 species
UAUGUUAGUACAUGAUAAAUAGGGACAAUUCGGGGUCGCUGCAUUGAUCGGGGAGAGGUGAAAUUCUAAGAUCCAUCCAAGACGAACAAGUGCGAAAGCAUUUAGACAAGGUGUUUUCAUUAAUCAAGAACGAAAGUUAGGGGAUCGAAGACGAUUAGAUACCGUCGUAGUUUUUAUUAACUAUAUCGACCAAAUAUUAUGGCAAUUUGUCAUUGAAUCCCGUAGCAUUUGAUGAGAAAUCACAAGGGUGGUUCUAGGGGGAGUAUGGUCGCAAGGCUGAAAAUUAAAGGAAAUGACGGAAGGGCACCACCAGGAGUGGAACCAGCGGCUUAAUUUGACUCAACACGGGAAAACUUACCAGGUCAGGACACAGUUAGGAUUGACAGACUGAUAGAUCUUUCAUGAUUUUGUGGGUAGUGGUGCAUGGCCGUUUUUAGUUGGUGGAUUGAUUUGUCUUUUUAAUUCCGUUAACGAACGAGACCUUAACCUAUUAACUAGAAACUGGAAAUAGGAUCUACGGAUCUUUAUUUUCCNUGUAUUCUUCUUAAAGGGACCCAUUAAUUUUAUUAAAAGGAAGAUUAAGGCAACAACAGGUCUGUGAUGCCCUUAGAUGUCCUGGGCCGCACGCGGGUUACAUUGGAUUCCACAAAGUGUAUUGGUCCUUGCAUGAAAAUGCUAGGGAACCACUAAUACAAAUACCUAAACUGGGAUAGUAAAUUGUAAUUAUUAUUCUUGAACGAGGAAUUCCUAGUAAACUUACUUCAUUAGAGUGAGUUGAUUACGUCCCUGCCCUUUGUACACACCCCCCGUCGCUCCUACCGAUUGAAUGGUCCGGNGAGAACUUAGGAUGGAUGGGNUUUGUCUGGNUGAAAAAACUAGCGCAAGCCCNUAUUUUGNCNNAAUUUGUUCAAANUGAAACUGCGAANG